rnacentral:tRNA from 1 species
GUGCUCGUAGCUCAAUUGGUUAGAGCUCCAGGUUGUGGACCUGGUGGUUGUGGGUUCAAGUCCCAUCGAGCACC